rnacentral:rRNA from 1 species
UACGGAGGGUGCGAGCGUUAUCCGGAUUCACUGGGUUUAAAGGGUGCGUAGGUGGGCUGGUAAGUCAGUGGUGAAAUCUCCAGGCUUAACUUGGAAACUGCCAUUGAUACUAUCAGUCUUGAAUACCGUGGAGGUCAGCGGAAUAUGUCAUGUAGCGGUGAAAUGCUUAGAUAUGACAUAGAACACCAAUUGCGAAGGCAGCUGGCUACACGAAUAUUGACACUGAUGCACGAAAGCGUGGGGAUCAAACAGG